CCAAAAGCUCCACCAGACUGCCAAAAGAAGUCCAUUACUAGAGCUAGAAGGCUCUAGUCUAAAGCAUCCUCUGAAUUGCACUGAAAAUCCCGGCAGGGGUACCACACCAUCCGGAGUAGAUUAGUCAAAGAGACAGUAGGGAAGAGAAGGAGUGUGACCUCUGAUCAUUCCUUCUCCCCACCCCUAUGGGGCCAGGAUGUGGGUGUGGAAAAGAAAAUGAAAGAGAAAGAAGAUUUUUUUUUUUUUUUCUGCAAGCACCCUUCACUGAAGACUCCAGGGACUGCCUACCAGCUUCUCCAGCCUAGGUGUCACAACGGUACUUCUGGGAGUUUAAGAGGCACAAGCUCAUAGGAUCCUGGAAGGGACCUCUGAGCUCAUCUGUAGUCCAACCUUUUCGUUUUCCAUUGGGAGAGACUGAGGCCCAGAGAGCCCUGCUUAAGGCCAUAAGGAUAGGAUUUUAGCUCGGGGCCUCCGGCUGCCCAUCAUUCACCGCAGGUCUCACCGGACCCCGCAGUGCCUCUCCAUCCCCAUCGCCGCUCCUGGCAGUGCCAGGGAUCCUUCCUUCCACGUCCCGAGCUCUUACCCUUCUCCUUGGUGAAGAUGGAGAUGAGCGGCACCCGUGGCCGGUCGCUGAAGACCUCGGCUUGCUGCACCAGAGCCUCGCGCACGCUGUGGAAGUCACAGAGGACCACCACCAGGUAGGUUUGAAAGGAAAACCUUUCCCCCCAAGAUUUGGAGCCACGGGCAUUUCAAGAAAGUCACACCUAAAGGGCAGAGCUGGGAAAGAGUGGCAUUACCCAUAUGAAGUUUCUAAUACAGUUCUCUGUUCACAAGAUCAUCAAUUUGGAACUGGAAGGAUCUUGGGGGUCAUCGAGCAACUUGACCAGGAUCACACAAGUAUCUUAAGCAGUAUUUGAACCCAGGUCUUCUGGGCUCCAUGGUUAGCCCUCCAUCCACUACACUACAACCGUCAACCAACAAAGUUGGUAUUCACAAAUUUGAUUGACUUGGUUUAAUAAUUCAGUGUCAACCCUUUCCCCUCCCUGCCUCCAAACUGUGAUUAAAAAAAUAUUAAAUAGUAAUUGAAAGUGAAGAUUCUCAUGUUCUAAUGCUGAAAAGGACCAGAGAAAGCUCAGAUAAUAAUGUAGCUGGAGCAAUCAAAGCUUUAAGGAGAAAGUGGAACUUGAACUAGACCUUAAAGAACCAUCAGAAUUAUGGACAGGGCAUUUCAAACGAGGGAGAAACAUCUUGAUAAAAAGACAAGGGGGUAGGAAUGAAGUUAGCGUCUAUAAUGUACAGUGGGACUCCCUAGGCGGGGUAGGAUUGGAGAUGGAGAUAAAGGAUUGGAGGUGGAAAAUAACAAGAUAAAAUUGGUUAGAAAGGAUGAGCUCAGAUUCCAAAGAGCUUUGAAAAUCAGCCGGGAACUUGGGUUGCUACAAUAACCCUCUAAAGUAGGUAAAUGUAGCACAGUGUAGAAAGUCAUCUUCUUACAAUGAUCCUGUAAAGCGGGUUGUAUAAAUAUUACUAUUCCCAUUUUAUAGAUAAAGGAAACAGAGAGAGAGGUUAAGUGAACUUUCAUAGGGUCACACAAUAAAUGUUAAUAGGAAGAGUUGAGACAUGAACCUAAGUUUCCUGACUGUAAAACUAACUGGACUAUACUCAACUGCCCUAAAACUCUGAACUGGAAGAUAGCCUGUUACUGGUCUAGCAUAAAAUAUACUGCUCUUUAGGAUAACUGGGUGGUUUGGUAAUGAAAGGGACAGAAAAAAAGUGUUUUUGUCUAAUAGAUUUAUAUUGACUGUCAAAUGAUAUGGAAUACUGCCACUAUUGUGGAUGAACAUUUUGAUAUCCCAUGUGAGAAAAAUAAUUUUGUUUUACUAUACAUUGCUAAUAUAUGUGUACAAAGAAACAUUGUUUUCAGACAGGAUCUGAAAAGCUUUGUAGAGAAAAUAAUCUGUAGUGUAAUUGUGAGGACUUAGAUCUCCUUAUUAACACUUUUGGAGCAAUGCCUUGCUUGUGUGGGAACAGCUUAGCGUUAUAAAGAGAUAUAUAAAUCUUUUAUUGAUUAAAAACUAGAAAAAUGUGAGUAUAAAGAAACACAGUUUCAAGGGCACCAAAGA